CUGGAAUACAUCCUAUCACAGUGGAUAUCCCUCGUGUGGUAUUAUCAGCAUGUUGCUGCAAGGCAAUCCUCUUCAAUAUUAGCAAUAUGUUUGUUCCAAAGAGUCAGCUCAGGAUUUGGCCCCUGUGUUAACAAGACUUCACACAGAACUCAUCACCUCCUGGAGUUGGAGUCAAUCAUAUUUGGACAGAUGAUGCCAGACCUGUUGAGUAUCUUCAGCACAUUUCUGUUUCUGUUUCGGAUUUCCAGAAUCCACAGUUCUUCGGAUUUUGUUUCACUUCAACCAUCUUUCUGACAAUAAGAAGAUGGAAAAGCUCAGAUUUGUAGAGCAUCAUUCAAAACCUCAAAACAUUUUAGAAGUCGUGCCAGUCAAUAAAGUCUGUCUGACAUGAGCUGCUGUUGUGAGAAAUAUAGCUGGACAUACUGCACGUUGGAAAGUUCCCUUGAUCUGUUUGGAGGACACUGCCAUUUUCAACAAGUG